rnacentral:rRNA from 1 species
UACGGAAGGGGCAAGCGUUGUUCGGAAUCAUUGGGCGUAAAGGGCGCGUAGGUGGUUCUGUAUGUCUACCGUGAAAGCGUACGGCUCAACCGUAUUUUGUCGGUAGAAACUGCAGGACUUGAGGCUGGGAGGGGCUGGUGGAAUUCCCUGUGUAGCGGUGAAAUGCGCAGAUAUCAGGAGGAACACCUAUGGCGAAGGCAGCUCGCUGGGACGGUACUGACGCUGAGGCGCGAAAGCGUGGGGAGCGAACAGG